rnacentral:rRNA from 1 species
CCUACGGGUGGCAGCAGUGGGGAAUAUUGCACAAUGGGCGAAACCCUGAUCCAGCAACGCCGCGUGAGUGAAGAAGUAUUUCGGUAUGUAAAACUCUAUCAGCAGGGAAGAAAAUGAAGGUACCUGAUUAAGAAGCCCCGGCUAACGACGUACCAGCAGCCGCGGUCAUACGUCGGGGGCAAGCGUUAUCCGGUUUUACUGGGGGUAAAGGGAGCGUAUACGGCAGCACAAGUCUGGAGUGAAAGGCCGGGGUUUAACCCCGGAACUGCUUUGGAAACUGUGCAGCUAGAGUGCAGGAGAGGUAAGUGGAAUUCCUGGUGUAGCGGUGAAAUGCGUAGAUAUUAGGAGGAACACCAGUGGCGAAGGCGGCUUACUGGACUGUAACUGACGUUGAGGCUCGAAAGCGUGGGGAGCAAACAGGAUUAGAUACCCUUGUAGUC